AUUGAACGCUGGCGGCAGGCCUAACACAUGCAAGUCGAAUGGUAACAGGAAACAGCUUGCUGUUUCGCUGACGAGUGGCGGACGGGUGAGUAAUGUCUGGGAAACUGCCUGAUGGAGGGGGAUAACUACUGGAAACGGUAGCUAAUACCGCAUAACGUUGCAAGACCAAAGAGGGGGACCUUCGGGCCUCUUGCCGUCAGAUGUGCCCAGAUGGGAUUAGCUAGUAGGUGGGGUAACGGCUCACCUAGGCGACGAUCCCUAGCUGGUCUGAGAGGAUGACCAGCCACACUGGAACUGAGACACGGUCCAGACUCCUACGGGAGGCAGCAGUGGGGAAUAUUGCACAAUGGGCGCAAGCCUGAUGCAGCCAUGCCGCGUGUAUGAAGAAGGCCUUCGGGUUGUAAAGUACUUUCAGCGGGGAGGAAGGGAGUAAAGUUAAUACCUUGGCUCAUUGACGUUACCCGCAGAAGAAGCACCGGCUAACUCCGUG
rnacentral:rRNA from 1 species